CACAGUGGGAACUCCAAUUUGCUACUACUUUUAUUCUGAUUAUUUUCUUUUUUAGCAUUUUAAUUCCUAUUUUAUAAAUUCAUUAUUAUCUUGUAUCUGUGAAAGCACUAAAAUUUUGUUGAAGUUUUCCUUUUUACCCUGCAUUGCCAACUUUCCUCCUUUUUUGUGUUCUUCUUUGUUGGUUUGUUUUUCUUCAUAUUUGUCAGACUUUCUUCUGCAAUGGAUUUUUUUUUUUUUAAUGUUUCAUAUUAAAUCUCCAAAGCCAGGUGGAAGCUCUGUAUCUGGACAGGAUCUGUUGAUAGAUGGGCUUUACCUUGGACCAAUUAGAGAAUUAGCCCUUAUUUGAGAGGAUAUUGUUUUGGAAGCCCUUUUUCUAGAGAAGAAACCUCUUCUCUCCAGGUUGGCUCAUUGUUGCUGGCAUUCCACUGAGUGGCUGUAAUCAACUUUUUCUUAUCCAGUGGCUGCAUAGUAGUCUCAGCAGUAUUUGACUCAUGGGAAUUCAGCCAGACAUUUACUUAUGCUAAGUAGGCAGCACCACGUAAGUAUUAGCAGGCAACAGGGAACCUAUUUGAGCACUCUGAAAAGGAAGCAGUAGCAGAUAAAUUGGGAAAGAAGACCAGUAUUCAAAGGACCACCAAACGAGUGUGGAACUUGCAGGAGCCAGGAUUCUGAGGGAGAACCUUCGUCUGUGUUUGGUGGAGUUGUGGUCCCAAGAGGAUGAGGCCUAUCUCGUUUUUUCUCCCUCUCUGUCCUCUGGGUGGACCCAGGUACAGUUGCAGAAGUGCCGGGCAAAGUAGGAUAACCAGAGCCCCAGGUUUCUGACUGGAAGACUGAAAAGAAGAGCCCCAGGAACCCGAAAGCACUAGGAAGAUGGCAGAGAGGGAGGAGCUCAGGAAAAUGACUCCGUAAAAGCUGUUUAUUAUCCCCUAGGCUGAUUCCUAAGCUACAGACAUGCAUAGAUCUACUCCUCAACAGCUCAGCAAAGACUUUUGGAUAGAACAAUCACCAUCCAGGUCCCAGAUUGGCCACUGGGGAGCACACAUGUGGGACAGGUGCAUAUAACACUGCAAAGGCUUUAAAAACAACUAAUAUUGGAACCACAGCUCACAGAGGACAAGGUACAGAUUGCAGCCUGAAUCUAACUAGGUCAGUUAUCUGCUAGAACAGAAUUGUCGACGUUCAUCAUGGAUUUAAACAAGGCCUAGAAUUCAUAGUAUUCAAAACGAAUACGAUACAAAAUUACUUGGCAUUUGAAGAACGAGGAAAAUAUCUCUCAUGAGAAAAGACAGCGGACAUCAGUGCCAAGAUGACACAGAUGUUGUAGUUACCUAACAAAGAAUGUAAAACAUGUAUUUAGGAAGUGCUCCAACAGGGAAUCACAGGUACUCUUAAAAUUACUAGAAAAAUAGUUUCAGCAAAGAAAUAGAAGAUACAAAAAAGAAUCAGAUGGAAAAGUUAGAAUGGAACUAUAGUAACCUAAGUAAUACCUCAGUGGAUGAACUUGAUUUUAAAAUGAGGAUGACA